GCUGUAAGGGAGGAAAUACUACAUGCAUUACGAGUUGCCCCUAAUGCUGCCCGUUUAGUCCUGGAUUCUCUGGAAGGGUUUUACUGUACAGAACUGUCAAAUCAGGAUGUAAAGAAGGAUGCUAACUUGUUGGGUCUUCGUCGAACCUGUAUCAUGCUGAUGGAAUGUCUAAGUGCUUUCUUGGCCAACUCAGAUUUCGCUUCUAAUGUAAUUUCAGAAGAUAUCAAAGAGAGGGCAAAGGCAGUUGCUGAAGACUGGAAGCCUAGAUUGGAGGCUCUUGACAUGGAUGCCAGCAAUGGGAAUUCCUUGGAGGCUCAUGCCUUUUUGCAGCUUAUUGCCAGCUUUGGUAUUGCCUCUGAUUUUGAUGUUGAUGAGUUAUCCAGGCUAAUUCCAAUGGUGUCUCGCCGUCGCCAAACCGCUGAUUUAUGCCGCAGCCUUGGGUUAUCAGACAAGAUGCCCGGUGUGUAUUUUUUUUUUACCCAUAUAUAAUGUCUCUUAUGCCAUCCUGCGUGUGACUGAACAUUUGAGUGGUGUGUACUAAUAUUCUGGGAUGGUCAAGGAAAGUUGAUCAAUGACAAUAUAUAUUAUAUAAGUUAUAUGCUGAGAGAACUAAUGGAACUGAGCAGAUUAUAGUGCUGCAGUGAUGGACUUAAAUUAGAUAACAAAAUUGCUAGGAAUUGUCCCAAAAUUGCUCAUGUGAAAGGCAUGCAUGGAUUUACCAUUUGUAUCAAUUAAAGAAGGAAACAUUAAAUCUCUUCAUUUUGAUACUUAUUUUUAUUCUGUUUUAUUUAUUUAUUAUUUGUGUGCAGGUGUAAUUGAAGUUUUGGCGAAUAGUGGGCGACAAAUUGAUGCAGUUAACCUGGCUUUUGCAUUUGAUCUUACAGGACAGUUUUUGCCAGUUCCUUUACUGAAAUCUUACUUAAAAGAUUCCAGAAAAGUUUCUUCACCAGUCAGAAGUGUUAACUCUUCUCCUGCUGCACAGGUGUGUUGUUAAGUCUCAGCUGUAUUAAGUUACUAUCCCUCUGAUGUAUUCCUUUAACAAUUUGAAUUAGUUAUCUGAAAUAUUGUUGAGUACAUCCAAUUUUAUGUCCAUCUUUAAUGGAGAUCCAUCAUCCAUAAUAGUUUUGUUGUUCUAAUGAAAUAUUGACUUUAUUAGUUGCAGAUGUAGAGGAAUCAUAUAAAUUGUUUUAGAUUAUCUUCACAGUAUAUGUUGAGUCAGUUAUUCCUCCACAAACAGCUCUUAUUCAUAUACAAAAUAGUGAUUAAUUCUCUGUAUAUUCAGUUAAUAUUGCUGAAGUUUCAGUGGAAAACGAGCAUGAGGCUAGUACAGUGUGGAAUAUAGCAAAUAGAAAGUAAAAUACCAUAGGGCUAUUAGAGGUGCCCCUGCUUCCCAAAUUUCCAGAAGAGUGUAACUUAUUCUUCCCACAAUCCCUUGACACAAUGAUAGCGCAUGUUAACAAAGUAUAGGUUCAGUGUCCCUUCAGUGGUCUUCUAAGUUCUUCUAGCACUCAUUUCAGCCACAACACUUCAAAUAUCCCAUGUUUCACGGCUCUGAAUACAGCUUAUGCAUAAUUCUGGCCUUAACAUCCCGUUUUUAGAUCUUGUAGUCUCAACAGAGACGGUUUUUCCACCAUAUCGAAACCUCUGAUUUGGUUCAUUGGUGUUUCAGCAAGCCUAUAUCCCUGUGUUGAGUGUACCUGCAACUUGCAGAGGUUUCUUGAUUUCUUUUAUGCCAUAGAUCUGUGGGAAACCUUGUCACCAAGUGCCCUUUAUAUCAUUCUGGAAUUCCACCUUGAUUGUGAUUGACCUUAAAUAGUAAAUACCAAUUGGCAACCUAUAACUGCUUGCUUUCUUGAGUUGCCUAAUGGUUGUCCCUGAAUGAACAAAAGCACAUAUAUGUUGUUUCUUUUAGAUCCUUAAGUUACCCACUUGAUGCACAAAAGCAUAUAUAUGUUUUUUUUUUAGAUCCUUAGGUUACCCACUUGAUGCUCGAGUUUUAUUUGGUUUGUGGAUCUAAUUUGUUUUUGUUUUUAAAUAUUGUUAACAACCUGCUGUUAAUUCAGAUUGAGGUUAACGAGCGAGAGCUAGUUGCUCUUAAGGCUGUAAUCAAGUGCAUUGAAGAGCAUAAACUUGAAGAUCAGUAUGCUCUUGACCCUCUCCAAAAACGAGUUCUUCAACUAGAGAGGGCCAAAGCGGACAAGAAGAGGGAAACUGAAGCUACAAAGCCUCAACCUAAGAGACCCCGCGCCAAUGGCGUGGGAUAUGGUCCCCGAGUUACUAACUUCCCUUCUGACAAAACCUCCUAUGCUAGAGUUGCUGACAGGUACCCACCACAGUAUGUUUAUGACCGACCUUACAUGUAUCCUGCACCAACUGACAAUCAUUGUCCUCCUCUCUUCGGUUCUGCCACGUAUAACAUCUCUGCUAGCCAUGGAAACUACUUUGGAAAUGGGUAUCAGUAUCAAGCUACAUAUCUCCACUAAGUUAGCAAGCAGAGAUGGUGAAUGCAUGACUUUGAUCCUUCCCUUUAAUGUUGUAGCCUUAAGUCUUAACCCUUAAGCAGCUGUUGUAUUGUAUGUUGUACUUUAUCAAUGUAAUAUUUAAGGAUCCUGAAAACGAGAUAAAAUGACAUGUUAAAAUUUAACUUCGCAGUAGAACAUAUUCUGAAAUCUGAUCCUCUAAUGUAUUAUGUAUGCACGAUCUGUUUAAUUUUUGUAAAAGACACCUUGUUGACUUGUAAAUCUUUCUGAUUUCUUAGUUUGUCGUUUCUAAGAAAGCGUUUCCUUUUUGUUCUUAGACUGAAAAAGAUGGAGAUAUAGUGUGAUCGUAAAAGCCUAAAAAUGUCUCGCGUGUUAAAUUAUAUUAUUAUUAUUUUGUAGGGUUACUAAAAUUGGCUUUAAAGCAUUUUUGUCUAUCUAUAUCAUGUUUUGUCUUUCCAGUUUAAAGUACAGAAAUUAUCUUCUUUUUCUAUGAAGAACAAUUUUGUGAUUUUUGUCACUAUUGUUGCUUUUUUACAGUUCGAAAUUAUAGAUCAGCCUUAAAUACUCUUGAGCCACUACGAGACAUAUUUUUUAUAGGAUGUAUGUUUAACGGUGUGAUAUUUACAUAAAUUGACAUUGAUAUUAUUUGAAAUUUAAUUAUAUAUGUGAAAUCAAUUUGGGUUCCUGAAUAAUCAGUUCAUUGGUUGCUUAACUAAAUAUGAUUAAGUUACACUAAAUUUUUUAUUUUGGUUUUUGUUCCGAUAGUUAUCUGAAACUGGGUUGUUUUAGAUUUAAACGUGAGGUCCAGACUUCUUUUGGGCAAUGUUCGACGUCUCCUUUUGGACUCUAAUGCUUAAGUUAACAAGAGUUUUAGCAAGUUUUUAGUAGAUUAAGUUUUGAAUAUACUUAAAGGCGUCAGUGUAUUUAUAGUAUAAUAGAUAACAACCUUUUAGAGAAGAUCUUCCUUUGAGGGUGGAUAACGGAAAGUUUGUGGAAAUCUCUCUUUUAGAUAAGUGGCAGAUAUUUUAGAAGUUAGUUAUUUAUUCAAAUAAGUAGAGUUGAACUGCCAUCGUAAUGCUCGACCUCCGCGACCUCUGCGAGGUCAGAUAAGUAUAACAGUAGUUGAAUCUCUUGAAUAGACUUUUAUUCAUUUGGGUCUAGCUAUAUUUUUUGAGUCCAAAUAUAUACAUUUUUGUAUAAUAUUAUGAUCGAAAUUUACUCACUUAAACAAUUGCAUAUUCUCCCUUUCAAUAUUAAUUAUUCAUUACUUCACCUCCCUUAAUAAAAUCUCUAGUUUAAAAUCUUUUCUUGUAAAAUUAUUUUUAAUUGAUAAUUUUAAUAGGUAAGAUGAACAUAAAUUGGUAUUUUUCUUAAUUUGACAUAAAAAUUGAUUCAUCUAAUAGAAAAGAAAUUAAUUUAAUAAUGAGUAAAGUAUCGUUUUUGUCUCUAACGUUUGGGGUAAGUCCUAAAGUUGUUCCUAAAGUUUCAAUCGUCCUAUUUAAGUCCCUAACAUUUCAAAACUGACUCAAUGUUGUCCUGCCGUUAGGGAUCCGUUAACAGAAUUGACGGCGGGACAAAAUUGAGACGAUUUUGAAACUUUAGGAACUUAAAUAGGACGAAAACGUUGGGGACAAAAAUGAUACAUAGAAAUAAAUUUUAAUUUUAUCCUUCAAUAAUAUCAAUUUUUUACUAUACAUAGUAUUCAAUUAUUUUUUAAUCACAUAUAAGUAAAUUACACUUAAUCAUAUUACUUUCAUUUUAAAUAAAUUAAUUUUUUUUAUAAUUUUACUCUUAAAGAUUUUUAGUUAUCAUGAAAUAUUUGUAGAAUGACUAGUAUAUAAAUUUGCAGAAAAGAAAAAAAAUAAUAUAUAUACAAUAAAAUGUAAAUUAUACCUUUUGUCUCUAAUGUAUCAAAAUUUUUUAAAAUUAUAAAAAAAUAAAUUUAUUUAAAAUAAAAGUAAUGUGAUUAAGUGUAAUUUAUUUAGAUGUAAUUAAAAAAUAAUUGAAUACUAUGUACAGUAAAAAAAUAAUAUUAUUGAAAGAUAAAAUUAAAUUAAAAUUUAUUCUUAUGUAUUGUUUUUGUCCCUAACGUUUUUGUCCUAUUUAAGUCCCUAACGUUUCAAAAUCGUCUCAAUUUUAUUCAGUCGUCAAUUCUGUUAACGAAUUCCUAACGGCAAGACAAUAUUGAGUCAAUUUGAAAGGUUAGGGACUUAAAUAGGAUGAUUGAAACGUUAAGGAUAAUUUUGGGACUUACUCCAAACGUUGGGGACAAAAACGAUAUUUUACCCUUUAAUAAUUAAAAUUUGUUAAAAAUUAAUCCUACUAGAAUUUAUUUAGAAAAUAAUUUGGAAUAUUUAUUUUUUAUAAAUUUAAUCCAUAAUAAAAGAAACUUAUGAUUGGAUUAGGUACGUGAUGAGAAUAAUCAGAGGAAUGUUUGUCGAAGACGUGCAGCUCAGACAACACUCCGUUGUGACUAGUCAGUCCUCAGUAGUCAGUAGUAACGAGCAGCAGCUAAACGCCAAAACUAAAACGGAACGGAAAACGAAGUAACUCAAAAAUGCUUUUGUCAUGCACUGCGUAGAAAAAAAAAAAAACAGAAAAGAAAAAAAAAAUAAAAAAAUAAGACAAAGACCGCACAGUGUGCCACACACAGUGAGAGUGCUGAAAACUCUUUUCAUUAAACCACACCACACUACCACCUCUUCCUUCUUCUUCUUCUUCUUCUUCCUCUUCUUUGAAGAGAGAAAGCAUGGAUAGAGAAUUCUCUCACUCACUUUCUUAAUUCAUCUUCCUUCACAGAUCAAUCAGGUGAGCUCAAUCUUACUUGCUUUUUCUCCUUCUUUUUUAUUUUAAUUAUUAUUAUUUUAUUUAAAAAGUAGCAUUUUAAUUUAUUGAUUGAUUUUCUUGCUAUCAGCUUAGAUCGGCUUUCUUUGUUUCUCUGCAACAACAAUCUACUCUUCUAUUCUAUCGUUUUCGAAUUUUGGAGUAUUGUCCUUUCUUUUUUUGUGUUGUGCUAAUUGUUGAACGUAACUGUCUGAGGACGAUUUUUCUCCUCUUUCUAAAUUUAGGGUUUGCUUCUUUUUGUGACUCAUUCGAUCCUAUACCUCCGAUAUGUUGUUUGUAUGUUCUAGAAUCUAGAAUAAACCUAUUAUAUGUUUACUCAGUUCUAUAUAAUAUGUAAUAGAAAUUGUUGAAAUCUGCUGGGGUUUUUUUAUUUAAUUUAAUUAAUUUAAUUUUUAAUUUCUUGAUAUCUUGUGUGUGCACUUUGCAAUGAAAUGAUUAUGCAGUUUUAUAUGAACAACUGAAUUAUGGAGAAGUGCCUUAAGUUCUAGUUCAUUGUCUGAUUUUCAGCCUUCACUUGGAUGUUAUUUAUAAAAUUCAAACUGAAAGCGCUAUAAUUACACACUUGCUGAGAUUGUUUUAUGCUUCAUUUUAGUGGCUCCCAAUUAAUCAACUAUACGUAGCUUAAUUUUGUUUUUGUGCUGCAUUCAGCUUCUUUGCCAUGGAAGACACGGAUUCAGUUGCUACACUGAUAGAUUCAACAAGUUCUAAGAUAAAACAGCUCCAAAAGGCAUUUGCUGAACUUGAAAGCUAUCGAGCUGUUACACUUAACUUGAAAUGGAAAGAGCUUGAGGAACAUUUCCAUGGACUUGAGAAAUCAUUGAAGAGACGCUUUCAUGAAUUGGAGGACCAAGAGAAAGAGUUUGAAAACAAAGUGGUGAAGUCUCGUGAAAUAUUGGAGAAGCGGGAAGUGGCUGUUUGUGCCAAGGAGCAAGCUUCUUUGCAGAAACUUCAAGAUAAAAGAGAUGCUGCUGUGUUUGCCAUUUUUAAUGCCCGAGAAAAGCACAGGAAGGUUUCAUCAAAAGAUCUGGNNNNNNNNNNNNNNNNNNGUAAAACUUUCUCCUGAAGGUGGAAAUGUGGAUCUAUUAUCUUAUCCAGAGUUGGUAAAGCUAUGUAAAGAAAUGGAUGCUAGAGGUCUUCACAAAUUCAUAUCUGAUAACCGUAAGAAUCUUGCUGCUAUAAGGGAUGAAAUACCACAUGCAUUAGGAUUUGCUCCUAAUGCUGCCUGUUUAGUUUUAGAUUCUUUGGAAGGAUUUUACUGUGCAGAAGCGUCAAAUCAGGAUGUAAAGAAGGAUGCUAACUUAUUGGGCCUACGCCGAACCUGUAUCAUGCUGAUGGAAUGUUUGUACGUUUUCUUGAACAACUCAGAUGGUGUCUCUAAUGAACUUUCAGAAGAUAUCAAGGACAGGGCAAAAGCAGUUGCUGAAGAGUGGAAACCCAGAUUGGAUGCUCUAGAUGUGGAUGCU
rnacentral:lncRNA from 1 species